rnacentral:tmRNA from 1 species
GGGGGCGUAAAGGUUUCGACGGGGAUUGUGAGCUUGGGUAAGCGAGCAGCGGUGCGGGCCCGCUAUAAAAUCCGCAAUUAAAAAUAAACGACAACAAUACUGUUGCUCUCGCAGCCUAAAUAAGGCUGCCGUCCUUACCCGGAGUACCGCGGCCGGGAUAAGGGCGUGGAUUAGCGGUGAACGUGAAUAAAGGGAAGCCGUGCCCUUUAUCACGCAUUAAACGGCUACCGUAGCCGGAAGCCUGUCUGUUGGCGUCCGGUGAGGGGAAUCACAGUAAACAGACUGCGCUCGGAGAAGACCCAGGCAGGCAGUUUUCGGACGGGGGUUCGACUCCCCCCGCCUCCACCA